rnacentral:rRNA from 1 species
CAGCAGCCGCGGGAAUACGAAGGGGGCUAGCGUUACUCGGAAUUACUGGGCGUAAAGGGCACGUAGGCGGCAUGAUUAGUCAGGCGUGAAAUUCCUGGGCUUAACUUGGGAACUGCGUUUGAUACUGUCAAGCUAGAGGAUUGUAGAGGGUUGUAGAAUUCCCGGUGUAGAGGUGAAAUUCGUAGAUAUUGGGAGGAACACCGGUGGCGAAGGCGGCAACCUGGACAAUUACUGACGCUCAGGUGCGACAGCGUGGGGAGCAAACAGGAUUAGAUACCCCAGUAGUCCCUGUCUCUUAUAA